rnacentral:rRNA from 1 species
GAGUUUGAUCCUGGCUCAGGAUGAACGCUGGCGGCGUGCUUAACACAUGCAAGUCGAACGGUGAAAGAGGAGCUUGCUCCUCUGGAUCAGUGGCGAACGGGUGAGUAACACGUGAGUAACCUGCCCCAGACUCUGGGAUAAGCACUGGAAACGGUGUCUAAUACCGGAUACGAGCUUCAGCCGCAUGGCUAGGAGCUGGAAAGAAUUUCGGUCUGGGAUGGACUCGCGGCCUAUCAGCUAGUUGGUGAGGUAACGGCCCACCAAGGCGACGACGGGUAGCCGGCCUGAGAGGGUGACCGGCCACACUGGGACUGAGACACGGCCCAGACGUCCUACGGGAGGCAGCAGUGGGAAUAUUGCACAAUGGGCGCAAGCCUGAUGCAGCAACGCCGCGUGAGGGACGACGGCCUCGGUUGUAA